UACGGAGGGCGCAAGCGUUACUCGGAAUCACUGGGCGUAAAGGACGCGUAGGCGGGUUGUCAAGUCAGGUGUGAAAUCCUACAGCUUAACUGUAGAACUGCACUUGAAACUGGCAACCUAGAGUAUGGGAGGGGGAGAUGGAAUUAGUGGUGUAGGGGUAAAAUCCGUAGAUAUCACUAGGAAUACCUAAAGCGAAGGCGAUCUCCUGGAACAUUACUGACGCUAAGGCGUGAAAGCGUGGGGAGCAAAC
rnacentral:rRNA from 1 species